rnacentral:rRNA from 1 species
AUUGAACGCUGGCGGCAUGCUUUACACAUGCAAGUCGAACGGCAGCGGGGUAGUUCUUGCACUACUGCCGGCGAGUGGCGAACGUGUGAGUAAUAUAUCUGAACGUAACGAGUAGUGGAGGAUAACCAAUCGAAAGAUUUGCUACUUCCGCACAGAUCCUGAGGGAGAAAGCGGUUCGUAGCACAAGCUCGCGGUUUUCCAUCGGCCGAUUACGGAUUAGCUAGUUGGUGGGGUAAAGGCCUACCAAGGCGACGAUCAGUAGCGGGUCUGAGAGGAGGAUCAGCCACACUGGGACUGAGACACGGCCCAGACUCCUACGGGAGGCAGCAGUGGGGAAUAUUGGACAAUGGGCGCAACCCUGAUCCAGCCAUGCCGCGUGUAUGAAGAAGGCCUUCGGGUUGUAAAGUACUUUUGUUAGGGAAGAAAAGGGAAGUGCUAAUACCACUCUUUGCUGACGUUACCUAAAGAAUAAGCACCGGCUAACUACGUG